AGAUCAUUUCACUCCUUUACUUCCCUGACUCUUUAGGCAAAAAAGCUUGAAGUUCCUCUAAAAACAGAUUGGAGGCAGUGAGGCAAAUGGCAAUAACUUACCUGUGAGGCACCUGAGGACUUGGACUAAGAUAGUUCAGAGGAAACGGAAAGGUAGACAUGGAAAUAGAAGCCUGAGGCCUGGUGACUGAGCGGGGAGACCAGACAUGGUGGGGAAGAUGAGGAAGAGGCGAGAGCGGAAGACCAAAACAAUGUUUGAAUUGCAGAGCCAAAGAAAAGCGCAGAGAAACUCAGAAUGAAACUGUGAUAUUGAUAUUUUACCAAGUUUUCUCCAAGAUAUUGAUUACGACUUUCAGCCAAGUAUGACUCAUUGCUGUAAUCUAACAUGAUAUCAUCAGCCUUUUGAAUUUCAGGAGAGAGAUGAGAGUGAUCUUUCAGCAAAAUUAGUAAGUUAA
rnacentral:lncRNA from 1 species